rnacentral:snoRNA from 1 species
CCCCCAGGAUGCUUGUUGGACACAGGAGCACUUGUGUGUAAGGAGGAGCACUGAUCUAUCACCCAUGACUGAUGGCU